CCUACGGGUGGCUGCAGUGGGAAUAUUGGACAAUGGGGGCAACCCUGAUCCAGCCAUGCCGCGUGUGUGAAGAAGGCCCUCGGGUUGUAAAGCACUUUCAGUGAGGAAGAACGCCUGGUGGUUAAUACCCAUCAGGAAAGACAUCACUCACAGAAGAAGCACCGGCUAACUCCGUGCCAGCAGCCGCGGUAAUACGGAGGGUGCGAGCGUUAAUCGGAAUUACUGGGCGUAAAGCGCGCGUAGGUGGCUUGAUAAGCCGGUUGUGAAAGCCCCGGGCUCAACCUGGGAACGGCAUCCGGAACUGUCAAGCUAGAGUGCAGGAGAGGAAGGUAGAAUUCCCGGUGUAGCGGUGAAAUGCGUAGAGAUCGGGAGGAAUACCAGUGGCGAAGGCGGCCUUCUGGACUGACACUGACACUGAGGUGCGAAAGCGUGGGUAGCAAACAGGAUUAGAUACCCCGGUAGUC
rnacentral:rRNA from 1 species